CCUACGGGGGGCUGCAGUGGGGAAUAUUGGGCAAUGGGCGCAAGCCUGACCCAGCAACGCCGCGUGAAGGAAGAAGGCUUUCGGGUUGUAAACUUCUUUUCUCAGGGACGAAGAAAGUGACGGUACCUGAGGAAUAUGCCACGGCUAACUACGUGCCAGCAGCCGCGGUAAUACGUAGGUGGCAAGCGUUAUCCGGAUUUACUGGGUGUAAAGGGCGUGUAGGCGGGGAAGCAAGUCAGAUGUGAAAACCACGGGCUCAACCUGUGGCCUGCAUUUGAAACUGUUUUUCUUGAGUACUGGAGAGGCAGACGGAAUUCCUAGUGUAGCGGUGAAAUGCGUAGAUAUUCGGAGGAACACCGGUGGCGAAGGCGGCCAACUGGACUUUAACUGACGCUGAGGCUCGAAAGUGUGGGGAGCAAACAGGAUUAGAUACCCUUGUAGUC
rnacentral:rRNA from 1 species